CCUACGGGAGGCAGCAGUGAGGAAUAUUGGUCAAUGGGCGGAAGCCUGAACCAGCCAAGUAGCGUGCAGGAUGACGGCCCUACGGGUUGUAAACUGCUUUUAUACGGGAAUAACGCGCCUUACGUGUAGGGCUUUGCAUGUACCGUAUGAAUAAGGACCGGCUCAUUCCGUGCCAGCAGCCGCGGGAAUAUGGAAGGUCAGGGCGUUUUCCGGAUUUAUUGGGUGUAACGGGAGCGUAGGGCGGAUGUCAAGCGUGCUGUGAAAUUUCCGGGCUCAACCCGGGCCUUGCAGCGCGAACUGGCGUGCUUGAGUCCGCGGAAAGCAGGCGGAAUUCGUCGUGUAGCGGUGAAAUGCGUAGAUAUGACGAAGAACCCCGAUUGCGAAGGCAGCUUGCUGCAGCGGAACUGACGCUGAUGCUCGAAAGCGCGGGUAUCGAACAGGAUUAGAUACCCUUGUAGUC
rnacentral:rRNA from 1 species